rnacentral:rRNA from 1 species
CCUACGGGUGGCAUCAGUGGGGAAUAUUGGGCAAUGGGCGCAAGCCUGACCCAGCAACGCCGCGUGAAGGAAGAAGGCUUUCGGGUUGUAAACUUCUUUUGUCAGGGACGAAGCAAGUGACGGUACCUGACGAAUAAGCCACGGCUAACUCCGUGCCAGCAUCCGCGGUAAUACGGAGGUGGCAAGCGUUAUCCGGAUUUACGGGGUGUAAGGGGCGUGUAGGCGGGGGAGCAAGUCAGAUGUGAAAACCACGGGCUCAACCUGUGGCCUGCAUUUGAAACUGUUUUUCUUGAGUGCUGGGGAGGCAAUCGGAAUUCCGGGUGUAGCGGUGAAAUGCGUAGAUAUACGGAGGAACACCAGUGGCGAAGGCGGAUUGCUGGACAGUAACUGACGCUGAGGCGCGAAAGCGUGGGGAGCAAACAGGAUUAGAUACCCUUGUAGUC